UUUUAUGAGAGUUUGAUCCUGGCUCAGGACGAACGCUGGCGGCGUGCCUAAUACAUGCAAGUCGAACGCUUCUUUUUCCACCGGAGCUUGCUCCACCGGAAAAAAGAGGAGUGGCGAACGGGUGAGUAACACGUGGGUAACCUGCCCAUCAGAAGGGGAUAACACUUGGAAACAGGUGCUAAUACCGUAUAACAAUCGAAACCGCAUGAUUU
rnacentral:rRNA from 1 species